ensembl:lncRNA
UUUUGUUUUAAAAAAAGAAAGUUCAGAAAGUUCCGGCUCCAAUACAUACCAAACUAUAACCACACUUAAACACUGUAAAACCGAAUAAGUUCAUUUAACUCAAAACAUUUGAGGAAACUAUCCAUCCAUCUUCUACCGCUUACUCCUUUUCAGGGUCACGGGAACCUGGAGCCUAUCCCAGGGAGCAUGGGGCACAAGGCGGGGUACACCCUGGACAGGGUGCCGAUCCAUCACAAGGCACAAUCACACACACACUCACACACCCAUUCAUACACUACGGACACUUUAGACACGCCAAUCAGCCUACCAUGCAUGUCUUUGGACUGGGGGAGGAAACUGGAGUACCCGGAGGAAACCCCCGCAGCAUGGGGAGAACAUACAAACACACAGGUGGGACUUGAACCCCGGACCCUGGAGGUGUGAGGCAAACGUGCUGACCACUAAGUCACCGUGCGCAAUCAAUUCCUUUAAGCCAAAGACACUUAAAUAUAGCAAAAAUGUAACUCAGUUAACUCUAUUGAAGUGUGUUUGGCUUAAAGGAAUUGAUUUAUCAACUAUAAAAUUUUGAGGUAAUUAGUUUCCACAAAUGUUUUGAGUUAAAUGAACUUAUCCGGUUUAACAGAGUAAAAUGACUCAUAUACAAAUCGACUAACUGUAAAUUUCAACUCGUUACAACGCUAGCAAAUUCUUCAUGAGAUAAAUCGCACAGCAGGUCUGAUUUAAUUUUUUUUUAUUAUUAUUUUACCUACGACAGGACUUUAUCAUCUUUGGAUUGAUCAAAGUAUCAUGUUGUUGUCUUUUACAGCAGAAUAAAACUCCAGUCAGAUGCAAAGGGUGGAAGGAUGCUUCUGGAGGACAGGAUCUUCACAGUAGAUGAAUUUUAUUCGCAGAAGGCGUUCAGGUGGAGAAAUACGGGAGUGUAGUCUCCCUUCCUGUCUAACUGAAGGUGUGAAUGCCUACCCGAUAUAGCGCUUCAGUUCCCCGUACAGUAUAAUAAAAGGGUCUUCACGUGACAGUGUGUACCACGUAUCUAUCUUCUUAAGUGUCUAGCAACUUAUCCUAUGGCGAGAAUCAGCCAAAAGAGAAUCAAACAGAUUUUAAACAAGAUUUCCUGAGGUGCUUCAUCUUAACUGUCUAAAAUCAGAAAUGUUUUCAUAAUGUGAUAUUUUAAGACCAGAGUGAUAGAUUCCUGGCUAAUGCUUUACUGGAAGCUCCACAAAUAAUAAUGCUUUUUAU